rnacentral:rRNA from 1 species
UACAGGGGGGGCAAGCGUUGUUCGGAAUUACUGGGCGUAAAGCGCGCGUAGGCGGUUACUCAAGUCAGAGGUGAAAAGCCCGGGGCUCAACCCCGGAACUGCCUUUGAAACUAGGUAACUAGAAUCUUGGAGAGGUCAGUGGAAUUCCGAGUGUAGAGGUGAAAUUCGUAGAUAUUCGGAAGAACACCAGUGGCGAAGGCGAACUGACUGGACAAGUAUUGACGCUGAGGUGCGAAAGCGUGGGGAGCAAACAGG